CAGCAGCCGCGGUAANACGNAGGNGGCAAGCGNUAUCCGGANUUACNGGGUGUAAAGGGCGNGUAGGCGGGAAAGCAAGNCAGAUGNGAAAACNGUGGGCNCAACCCACAGCCUGCAUNUUGAAUCUGUUUUUCNUGAGUACNGGAGAGGCAGAUGGAAUUCCUAGUGUAGCGGUGAAAUGCGUAGAUAUUAGGAGGAACACCAGUGGCGAAGGCGAUCUGCUGGACAGCAACUGACGCUGAGGCGCGAAAGCGUGGGGAGCAAACAGGAUUAGAUACCCUGGUAGUCCACGCUGUAAACGAUGGAUACUAGGUGUGGGGGGUCUGACCCCCUCCGUGCCGCAGUUAACACAAUAAGUAUCCCACCUGGGGAGU
rnacentral:rRNA from 1 species